UACUCCUACGGGAGGCAGCAGUGGGGAAUAUUGCACAAUGGGGGAAACCCUGAUGCAGCAACGCCGCGUGGAGGAUGACGCAUUUCGGUGUGUAAACUCCUUUUAUAUAGGAAGAUAAUGACGGUACUAUAUGAAUAAGCACCGGCUAACUCCGUGCCAGCAGCCGCGGUAAUA
rnacentral:rRNA from 1 species